UACAGAGGGUGCAAGCGUUGUUCGGAAUGAUUGGGCGUAAAGCGUCCGCAGGUGGCUGUGUAAGUCUGCUGUCAAAGAGCAAAGCUCAACUUUGUAAAGGCAGUGGAAACUACACGGCUAGAGUGCGUUCGGGGCAGAGGGAAUUCCUGGUGUAGCGGUGAAAUGCGUAGAGAUCAGGAAGAACACCGGUGGCGAAGGCGCUCUGCUAGGCCGCAACUGACACUGAGGGACGAAAGCUAGGGGAGCGAAUGGG
rnacentral:rRNA from 1 species